rnacentral:tRNA from 1 species
AUUCUCAUUAGUUUAAUGGUAAAACCAGAUACUUCUGAUAUCUUAAUUUAAGUUCGAAUCUUAAAUGAGAAUA